rnacentral:rRNA from 1 species
CCUACGGGAGGCAGCAGUGGGGAAUAUUGCACAAUGGGGGAAACCCUGAUGCAGCAACGCCGCGUGAGUGCAGACGUCUUUCGGUAUGUCAAGCUCUAUCAGCAGGGAAGAGAAGGACCGUACCUGACUAAGAAGCACCGGCUAACUACGUGCCACCAGCCGCGGUAAUACGUAGGGGGCGGACGUUAUCCGGAUUUACUGGGGGUAAAGGGAGCGUAGAGGGUUCUGCAAGUCUGAAGUGAAAGCCCGUGGCUUAACCGCGGAACGGCCUUUGAAACCGGGGAACUGGAGUGCGGGAGAGGCAAGCGGAAUGCCUAGUGUAGCGGUGAAAUGCGUAGAUAUUAGGAGGAACACCAGUGGCGAAGGCGGCUUGCUGGACAGUAACUGACGUUGAGGCUCGAAAGCGUGGGGAGCAAACAGGAUUAGAUACCCUGGUAGUC